CUGACCCGCACGAAAGGUGUAAUGAUCCCUUCGCUGUCUCGGCUGCAGACUCGGUGAAAUUUUAGUACCGGUGAAGAUGCCGGUUACCCGCAACUAGACGGAAAGACCCCGUGGAGCUUUACUAUAACUUGAUAUUGAAAUUUGGUGUAACGUGUAGAGGAUAGGUGGGAGACUAUGAGACCAGGACGCCAGUACUGGUGGAGUCAACCUUGGAAUACCACCCUCGUUACAUUGGGUUUCUAACUUCGACCCGUUAUCCGGGUUAAGGACAGUGUCUGGUGGGUAGUUUGACUGGGGCGGUCGCCUCCCAAAAAGUAACGGAGGCGCUCAAAGGUAUCCUCAGUAUGGUUGGAAAUCAUACAUAGAGCGCAAAGGUAGAAGGAUGCUUAACUGCGAGACUUACAAGUCGAACAGAUACGAAAGUAGGACUUAGUGAUCCGGCGGUCCCGAGUGGAAGGGCCGUCGCUCAACGGAUAAAAGUUACCCCGGGGAUAACAGGCUUAUCUCCCCCAAGAGUUCACAUCGACGGGGAGGUUUGGCACCUCGAUGUCGGCUCAUCGCAUCCUGGAGCUGUAGUCGGUUCCAAGGGUUGGGCUGUUCGCCCAUUAAAGCGGUACGCGAGCUGGGUUCAGAACGUCGUGAGACAGUUUGGUCCCUAUCUGUUGUGGGCGUAGGAAAAUUGAAGAGAGCUGUUCCUAGUACGAGAGGACCGGAAUGGACGCACCCCUGGUGCUCCUGUUGUCACGCCAGUGGCAUAGCAGGGUAGCUAUGUGCGGACAGGAUAAUCGCUGAAGGCAUCUAAGCGAGAAGCCCCCUUUAAGAUGAAUUUUCCCAUUUGUAAGAUGUAAG
rnacentral:rRNA from 1 species